rnacentral:tRNA from 1 species
GUUAUUGUAGCUUACCUGCAUAAAGCAAAGCACUGAAAAUGCUAAGACGGGUGCUAAACCACCCCAAAAACA